CCUACGGGAGGCUGCAGUGAGGAAUAUUGGUCAAUGGACGAAAGUCUGAACCAGCCAAGUCGCGUGAGGGAUGAAUGCCCAAUGGGUUGUAGACUUCUUUUAUCUGGGAAUAAAAUGUUCCACGUGUGGGAUUUUGUAUGUACCCUAUGAAUAAGGAUCGGCUAACUCCGUGCCAGCAGCCGCGGUAAUACGGAGGAUUCGAGCGUUAUCCGGAUUUAUUGGGUUUAAAGGGGGCGGAGGUGGGUCGUUAAGCCAGGUGUGAAAGUUUGCGGCUCAACCGUCAAAGUGCAGUUGAAACUGGCAGUCUUGAGUACAGUAGAGGUGUGCGGAAUUCGUGGUGUAGCGGUGAAAUGCAUAGAUAUCACGCAGAACCCCGAUUGCGAAGGCAGUGCACCGUGCUGCAACUGACGCUGAGGCACGAAAGCGCGGGUAUCGAACAGGAUUAGAUACCCCAGUAGUC
rnacentral:rRNA from 1 species